UUGAUGCCAUGUCUUGGCUAUUGUGAAUAAUUCUGAAAUGAACAUGAGACUGCAGAUGUCUUCUUGACAUCCCGAUUUAAUUCAUUGGAUAUGUACCCAGAAAUGGGAUUACUAGACCAUAUGGCAAUUCUGUUUUUAGUUUCCAGUAUUCCAAUUUUAUUUUCUAUCCAGCCCAAUCGUGAUACCUGACUGAUCUCAAGAGAAUAACUCAAAAGUGUAGCAACUGAGAACUGCGAGGCUCCAGAAUGGAGGGUUAUUACAGAGACUGGAACUCACCUUCAUACAUAGCCUUGAACCUGCUCUGUUCUGACUAUUUCACUUUGGGAUCAUGGGUCAAGCUCAUUUCAGAGGGAAAGACUGCAAAAGACUUUUGCUAAAAUAUCCUCCUCUAACUAAAAUAUUUAAUUCCUCCGAGCCCCUGAAUAUUUUAUCAUAUAUAGAUCAAACUGAGAUUCAUAGAAUUUAAUGUGGAGACUUGCGCUAUUUUUAUAUCUCGGAUAUGCUGAUUUUGUUCUCCUACAAUACCAAUACACUUCCUUUUAAAUCCAUAGUGCUUGGUUCUCUCGUGUAAUCCUUCACCCUGCAUGCCUGUCCAGAAUCAUCCCCUGUUUUGGACAGAACGCUAUGACUGAAUUGACUGCCACAACUGAGUUACAAAACUGAAAUAGAAACAUAUGCUAUAAACCUCACUGUCUGGGGAUCUAUGAAUAUAACAUUGGUAUGUCAACGUGGCCAUCUUCCAGGACUGCAAGAGAAUGGGAUAAAUGUUGUUGGGCCAUAGUUUAUCAGAACAUUUGAGAGGAUUAUAUCAACAUUUUAUGUUUUCACUGGGAGCAAGGCAAUCCCUUCAGUGCUGGCAUUUAGAAUGUGGAUUCAGAAGUCUUUGAGAGUUGCCAGAAAAAGUCCAAUCUCAGAGGGAGACCCAGAUGAUAGGGCACUAAUCAGAAAAUGCAUCGUCCCCGCCAGAUGGUCCGGAUUGCGCCGAGAUACCUCACAGCCUGAAGAAUUGCGAGAGCUGUGAGAAGCAAACUAACAUUUCCAUUCUAGGUUCGAACAUGGAUGGAACUUGAAUAGACCAAAAAUCUCCUGGUCCAUUGAGUUAGUGCAGACCCAGGGUGAUGGGGACACCAUCUCCACAGAAGAAUCUGCUUACAAAUUCUGCACCCCAGGGUGGAUUCUGAAAUUUCUGCGCCAUAUAUGCCUGUGGCUGACUCGAGCUGGUUACAUAUCAUGCCCACUUUGAAGCCAUAGAAGUCCAACCUAUCAUGUGCCCAGAAGGAUUAACAGGUCCUGCUGAAUCCGGAGGUGGAAUGUACAAGGAGCAACGACGCUAGGAGAGUUUGCACAACAGGAGCGAAAUCAUGAGUGUCUUGAGUUUCACUGAGGUGUUCUGGGAAGUCAUCUCUUUGGCUCUUCAGAUAUGAAGCCGGGUUAUGGUAGGAAAACACAAAGGCCAUAAGUCCUGUGGUUUUCAAAGAAGUUCUUCAGUGGAAGGAGGGGAGAGUGGAGCAGAAUAAGGGUGUUGGCUAGACUUUCCCAGGAUUCCCAGGAUUGCUGAAGAGUGUCUGGAGCAUAUACCAAUCUUAUAUACUUUUAUGUGAUGUAAUUAAUUCAUCCAUGAAACAAGAAGGGUUUUUUUCCAUGGGAAAUGUCCUUGAACUGUUGAAACUUGAAAAAAUAAAAAAAGAAGUAAGUUGAGAUUAUUUUGGUUAAAAAUAAGCAGUGAACUCUACAUAAGGUCCCUGAAACAAAAUAAAUGUUCUAAAAGA